rnacentral:rRNA from 1 species
AACGAACGCUGGCGGCAUGCCUAACACAUGCAAGUCGAACGAAGCCUUCGGGCUUAGUGGCGCACGGGUGCGUAACGCGUGGGAAUCUGCCCUCAGGUACGGAAUAACUCAGGGAAACUUGAGCUAAUACCGUAUAAUGACUUCGGUCCAAAGAUUUAUCGCCUGAGGAUGAGCCCGCGUCGGAUUAGCUAGUUGGUGAGGUAAAAGCUCACCAAGGCGACGAUCCGUAGCGGUCUGAGAGGAUGAUCAGCCACACUGGGACUGAGACACGGCCCAGACUCCUACGGGAGGCAGCAGUGGGGGAAUAUUGGACAAUGGGCGAAAGCCUGAUCCAGCAAUGCCGCGUGAGUGAUGAAGGCCUUAGGGUUGUAAAGCUCUUUUACCCGGGAUGAUAAUGACAGUACCGGGAGAAUAA